rnacentral:rRNA from 1 species
UACGUAGGGGGCAAGCGUUGUCCGGAAUCAUUGGGCGUAAAGCGCGUGUAGGCGGCUCGGUAAGUCCGCUCUGAAAGUCCAGGGCUCAACCCUGGGAUGCGGGUGGAUACUGCCGGGCUUGAGUACGGAAGAGGCGAGUGGAAUUCCUGGUGUAGCGGUGAAAUGCGCAGAUAUCAGGAGGAACACCAAUUGCGAAGGCAGCUCGCUGGGACGUUACUGACGCUGAGACGCGAAAGCGUGGGGAGCAAACAGG